rnacentral:lncRNA from 1 species
UACAAGUGCAGUUUUAAGACACUUUAUUCAUUUUAUUUCAUAUACAGCAAGAUAUUAAGGUGCUAUGGCUGACUUAAGAGUCUUUGAACUCCUUCCCUCUGCUGUGUGAGUUGCUUUGCAGCAUGGACAACCAACCAUCUGAGUGAUUUAAUUCAUAUCUCAGACUCCAGAUAACCUGUGAGGACCUUAAAAUUUGCCUCCAUAUAAGAACUCAGAAUCCUGGGAUUUUUGUAAGGAGUACUUUGCAGAAAUUACUUCCCUUUUGAAGAGUGUUUUCAACACACAGGGUAGAGUCUGUAGCCUAAUGUCAUCUGGGAUCUGAUUUAAACACUGGGGAGAGAAACAGGGAAGUUCUAUUUUCAACAACUUGAAUCUAAGACUUGGGCAGAACAUCAACAACAU